GAUGAACGCUGGCGGCGUGCCUAAUACAUGCAAGUCGAGCGAACGGACGAGAAGCUUGCUUCUCUGAUGUUAGCGGCGGACGGGUGAGUAACACGUGGAUAACCUACCUAUAAGACUGGGAUAACUUCGGGAAACCGGAGCUAAUACCGGAUAAUAUUUUGAACCGCAUGGUUCAAAAGUAAAAGACGGUCUUGCUGUCACUUAUAGAUGGAUCCGCGCUGCAUUAGCUAGUUGGUAAGGUAACGGCUUACCAAUGCAACGAUGCAUAGCCGACGUGAGAGGGUGAUCGGCCACACUGGAACUGAGACACGGUCCAGACUCCUACGGGAGGCAGCAGUAGGGAAUCUUCCGCAAUGGGCGAAAGCCUGACGGAGCAACGCCGCGUGAGUGAUGAAGGUCUUCGGAUCGUAAAACUCUGUUAUUAGGGAAGAACAUAUGUGUAAGUAACUGUGCACAUCUUGACGGUACCUAAUCAGAAAGCCACGGCUAACUACGUG
rnacentral:rRNA from 1 species